AUUGAACGCUGGCGGCAUGCCUUACACAUGCAAGUCGAACGGCAGCGCGGGGCAACCUGGCGGCGAGUGGCGAACGGGUGAGUAAUAUAUCGGAACAUACCCUAGAGUGGGGGAUAACGUAGCGAAAGUUACGCUAAUACCGCAUACGCACUAAGGUGGAAAGUGGGGGAUCUUCGGACCUCAUGCUCAUGGAGUGGCCGAUAUCUGAUUAGCUAGUUGGUGAGGUAAAGGCUCACCAAGGCAACGAUCAGUAGCUGGUUUGAGAGAACGACCAGCCACACUGGAACUGAGACACGGUCCAGACUCCUACGGGAGGCAGCAGUGGGGAAUUUUGGACAAUGGGGGGCAACCCUGAUCCAGCAAUGCCGCGUGAGUGAAGAAGGCCUCGGUGUAAGACUCUUUGUCUAGGGAAGAAAC
rnacentral:rRNA from 1 species